CCAUCUUUAAAAUGUAGAGAACCUUGCUCUAAUUUUUUUUUUUUUUUUAUGAAUUGUCUUUGGGCUACUUCUUUCCCGUUCUUCUGAACUGAGAAACAAGGAUAUAUGGACAUCACAACAAAUAUUAUUAAUGGUGCUUUGGCUUUGCUAGCUUAUAGCAAGGAUUUUUAUACCUCUAGGCGUCCAUUGUUUGAUGGUUCAGAAAGUCUGGCGGGUUAUAUUCUGUUAGAGAUGGUGUCUGUUCUAAAAGACCUAAAAUCAUUUCUAACCUUUGUUGUUGAAGCUAAUAUCUCCAUGCAUGGAUACAAGCAGCAAGGAGAUGAACAUGACGAAGAGGAAGAUAAAGAGGCAAGAGAAACAUCUCAAAGUGAGCAAAAAUCUAACCUCUGUUGGUCAUUUGAGUUUCCACAAACUGUCAGACCGUGAGCCACCAUAAUUCUCCCCUCCAUAAACUAAGGAGCUGCGAGAAAUGGGGGAUUCCACCUUUUUUCACAAGGAAUCUAAACUGGCAGAAUUAUAGAAUUUAGGCAAAAUAUAAUAAAAUAUUCAUUUUUAUGGCAUGAGGAGCUAGACAAUAGUGGGAUGACCAUUUAAUUUGUAACUCCAAGCUUACUUUGCUUGGAGAAUAUGUGAUCUGAACAUGUUACAUGUUGUGGUAUAUGGUGCUCCUAAUUAAUCAGUUUCAGUCAAGAAAAUCCAGUUUAAUUACA